UCUGCCCAGAAGAGGGUAUCAGGUUGCUGU
rnacentral:piRNA from 1 species